CUCGCCUAUAUGAAGUCGGAAUUGCUAGUAAUCGCAGAUCAGCAUGCUGCGGUGAAUACGUUCCCGGGCCUUGUACACACCGCCCGUCACACCAUGAGAGUCGAUAACACCCGAAGCCUGUAGUCUAACCAUAAGGGGGACGCAGUCGAAGGUGGGAUUGAUAAUUAGGGUGAAGUCGUAACAAGGUAUC
rnacentral:rRNA from 1 species